rnacentral:rRNA from 1 species
UGCCAGCAGCCGCGGUAAUACGGGAGGGGCUAGUGUUACUCGUCAUAAUUGGGCGUAAAGGGUACGUAGGCGGUCUAUGAAGUUGGGGGUGCAUUGGGAAGCUUCCAAAACCAAUAGACUAGAAUUUAGAAGGGGGAAGCCGUAUUUCUAGUGUAGAGGUGGAAUUUGUAGAUACUAGAAGGACGAUCAGAGGCGAAGGCAGCUUCCUAGUUUAAUAUUGACGCUGAGGUACGAAAGCAUGGGUAGCAAAUAGGAUUAGAUA